rnacentral:tRNA from 1 species
CUGCGUAUAACUCAGUCUGGUAGAGUGCUCGGUUUGGAACUGAGAUGUCAUAGGUUCAAAUCCUAUUACGCUGACCA